rnacentral:rRNA from 1 species
UGGGGAAUAUUGCACAAUGGGCGCAAGCCUGAUGCAGCCAUGCCGCGUGUGUGAAGAAGGCCUUCGGGUUGUAAAGCACUUUCAGCGGGGAGGAAGGCGGUGAGGUUAAUAACCUCACCGAUUGACGUUACCCGCAGAAGAAGCACCGGCUAACUCCGUGCCAGCAGCCGCGGUAAUACGGAGGGUGCAAGCGUUAAUCGGAAUUACUGGGCGUAAAGUGCACGCAGGCGGUUUGUUAAGUCAGAUGUGAAAUCCCCGGGCUCAACCUGGGAACUGCAUCUGAUACUGGCAAGCUUGAGUCUCGUAGAGGGGGGUAGAAUUCCAGGUGUAGCGGUGAAAUGCGUAGAGAUCUGGAGGAAUACCGGUGGCGAAGGCGGCCCCCUGGACGAAGACUGACGCUCAGGUGCGAAAGCGUGGGGAGCAAACAGG